rnacentral:rRNA from 1 species
AUGGAUGUAAAACCCACAUUUUUGAACGGCGAGAUAGAAGGAGAUGUGUAUUUGAAUCAACCAUCCGGUUUCAUCAAAGAGGGAGAAGAGCACAAGGUACUGAAGUUGCAUAAAAUCUUGUAUGGGCUAUGGCAAGAACCUCGGGAGUGGAACAUCAAACUUCAUCAGACAUUGAUUUCUCUUGGAUUUGAGAAAGCCCCACUAGAGCAUGCAAUGUACAAGAGAGGUAAAGGAAGGGAUCGUCUACUAGUUGGCAUCUACGUCAACGAGCUAUUGAUAACUGGAGCAGAUGAAGAGGUGAUUGCAAAGUUCAAGCUACAUAUGAAAGAGCUUUUCAAGAUGGAUGAUCUAGGUCUUUUGAGCUACUACCCCGGGAUAGAGGUACAUCAAAAGCCGGAGGGGGUCACACUAUGCCAGGAGGCAUACGUAAGGAAGGUACUUGAAAGGCGUGGCAUGAAAUAUUGCAAUCCAAUUGACGCUUCAAUGAAACCUCGUCUUGAGAUAAGUAAGAAGAGCAAAGCACCCGCAGUUGAUGCAAUAGAGUAUAUUGCAGCUGCCACUGCGAUGUGUCAAGGUGUGUGGCUUGGGAGGCUGCACGGUGAUCUCAUGGAUCGAGAUCCGGAACAAGUGGUGCUCAAUGUUGAUAGCAAGUCUGAAAGUUUUCUACGUAAGGAUCCAGUGCGGCAGGAUAGGAGCAAGCACAUUGAUACAUGUAUCAGUACAUGA